GAAAAAGACACAUUUCCUGUUUCAAUUUUGAAAAAGAGCUUUGAGCAGUGGCAAGUCCAGACAUCGGAAGAUUUGGGAGGAAGGGAUCUCAAUCAGGUCCACUGCCUGACAAUAAAAGGCAGCAGCAGAAACAUUUCCACUGGGCUUAGUAUCUAAGUCACAUGUGAAGGCCAGGAGCUGUCCUUGAAUGUCAGAAGCUAUUUGAGGUGUGUGGCAAAAUAACCUUGGAAGAGAUGCUGGGCAUGUGGAAGAGGAUAAAUUGCAUGGCAAAAAGAUAACAAAAGUUACAAUGACGAAACAAAGAAGAACCAUGGAAUAUAGAAAAACUACAGCACAAUACAGGCCCUUCGGCCCACAAUGCUAUGUCAAACAUGUACUUACUGUGACGAACAUGUUUAAUGAAACAAAAACUUUAUCCCUCUUCCCCUGUGCAAAAAAAAGCAAAUCAUGCAAAUGGCAACAGAAGAUAACAAACAAAAACACAGGACAUAAAAUAAUAUUAAUAAAUACUUUAUUGAUCUUGAGUGGGAAAUUUUUUUGUUCCAGCAGCAGCAUUUAAAAAUACACUUAGUAACGUGCAGACUUAACUAAUAAUAAAGUACAGAAUAAUAAUAUUCACAAUAAUAAUUCACCAAUGUGCAAUAAAAAUAUACAAAAUAAUAAAGUACUGUACUAUGAUGUGUGUUUUUCUGUCACAGAGAUGAAAUGUUGCAUUUGCUUAUUGCAGUUAGUAGGAACUAUUUUCUGUAAUGAUCCUGGUGACAGAUGAAUGAGUCUGUUCAAAAAGAUGCUCCACUGCUUAUUCAGUCGGUCAUGGAGAGGAUGUGUCUAUUUGUCCAUAAUAGAUAACGGUUUGUUUAGUGACCUCCUCUCCACCACUAACACAAGAGUCCGGGUUGCAGCCAAGGAUGGAUCCAGCCCUUUUGAUGAGUCUAUUUAUAGUCUUUUUGCAUCACCAGCACCGACCCUGCUCCCCCAACAUAAAGCCACAAAGGAGACUACACUCGCUACACCAGACUGGUAAAAGAUCUCCAACGUCCUGCUGCACACAUUGAAGGAUCUCAGCUUCCUUAGAAAACUCAAAAUCAAAAGUCAUAUUUCAGUUCAGCUCAGUGUUCAUUAUCUGCAGGAGCCCCGAUUCAAAAUUGCUCAAACUAGCAACAAAAAAAGGAGCAGCAGAAACUAAAACACAUCAUAAACAUAAAUUACAGUCCACAAUCCACAAACUGCACUGAGUAAAUCUUGUUCCAACACCAUCCUCCAACAGCAUUGAGGGAGAGGGAGAGAUCAUUUAAAUUCAAAGGCCGUUCUCCAGCAGCAGUAAGCAAGAGGCCGGCAGAUGGCGCUGAACACUCGCUUACCCUCUG